rnacentral:rRNA from 1 species
UACCCCCGAUCAAGCAAGAAGACCCGCUGAAUUU